GGACUUUGUAGGACAGAGCAUAUGGUAAUUAUUUCACUCAUCAUCAGGCCCAGCAAAACAAGUAAAAAUACUAAACAUCAUGGCCAUAUAUAUAAAAGGAAGAUUGUUUACAUAGCAAUUUAUUGCAGGGUUUAUCAGAUUUGCUUCACAGGAUUGAUAAAAAUCCCACGGAAUUCAAUUGUUCAUUGUGUUCUAAGCAGAAUUUUAAAUGAGUCUUGUGCAUCUUCCCUUGACUGAAACAAUACAAAGCUUCAAUAUUCUGUAGUUUUCUUACCAGGUCAUGUUUUUUCUGGUAGAUUCAGGUUUAAAUUUAUUUGUUUUUUCAAUGAUCUAUGGUGGGAUGUUCCAGUUCUUUGCUUCUGAUGAGAGAAU
rnacentral:misc_RNA from 1 species